rnacentral:rRNA from 1 species
CAGCCGCCACGGGAAUACGUAGGGUGCGAGCGUUAAUCGGAAUUACUGGGCGUAAAGCGUGCGCAGGCGGUUGUGUAAGACAGGUGUGAAAUCCCCGGGCUUAACCCGGGAACUGCGCUUGUGACUGCACAGCUAGAGUAUGGCAGAGGGGGGUGGAAUUCCACGUGUAGCAGUGAAAUGCGUAGAGAUGUGGAGGAACACCGAUGGCGAAGGCAGCCCCCUGGGCCAAUACUGACGCUCAUGCACGAAAGCGUGGGGAGCAAACAGGAUUAGAUACCCCCGUAGUCCCUGUCUCUUAUAC